UUGCUGAUUUGACAUCACUUCCUUCUGCCUUUUGACCCAGGCACAUACACCCUGCACAGAUCACACGCUCUUAGACGCUACUCCUCUAGCUAGGUGUAGUAUUUGCCUAUCCCUGUAAUGCAUUUCCUGUAAAUAACACUCCUUUCUGUUAUAGUUAUAAAACCUGGAUGACAUAUCCUUGCUUAGGCUGGUUUCCUGCUCUCAGGCACACUCACAGAACAGCCUUAAACACCAUCAACGUCACCGUGACAUUUCAUGAACCUCAGAGUGGGCAACCUCUGACUCUCUGGACAUUGUUGGAUUCCAACUCCCACUAGUCCUGGUUUGAUUGUGAGGGAUAAUGGGAAUUGCAAACAAACAGUAUCUGGAGAGUCAGAAUGGCUGCCUCCUGUGUCUCUGGGAAGAAGGAAGCAGUGGCUUUUCUUCCCAAGAAUAUGCUUCUUUGCAGAAAUGCAGGCUUACAUGCGGUUACCAGGCACAAAGGAAGGAAAACAUAAUUGAGAGCUGUGGAAGCCUCUGCAGUGCUUGUUGCAUAUCAAUGUGGAAUCACAAUCAGACCGCUUUGGUUUGGUUUUCUGCCAAUGUAAAAAUAUUUGUCAAGGAAACUUCCACACAAAGUGUCUCUUACAGAACCCCAUCAAGUUCUUGCAGUUUGGAAAACCCUGCUCUAGCAUACUGUAUAUAUAUAUUUUUUAAUCUCUGCUGCCCUAGGAGCUUUGUUGUAUGCAGCAUACCUGCACUAUUGUACCACAGAGCUAAACCACCUCUCCUUUGAUGUAUUCUUGAUACAUGCACAGAGAAUCAAAUAUUAUUUCUUAAAAAGAAAGGACAGAACACCUUCCUGUCAGAAGGCAGACUGUGGUUUUUUGAGCAUGACCUCAAACCUUGAGGGAAGCGAUAAAGUACUGAGGAAUGUUCAUCUUCUCUCACUGUUAUUGUAAGCCACUCAUUUCCAUCAGAGUUGGCAAUUAUAGGAACCAUAAAACGGA